UACGGAGGGAGCUAGCGUUGUUCGGAAUUACUGGGCGUAAAGCGCCCGUAGGCGGCUUUGUAAGUUAGAGGUGAAAGCCCGGGGCUCAACUCCGGAAUUGCCUUUAAGACUGCAUCGCUAGAAUUGUGGAGAGGUAAGUGGAAUUCCGAGUGUAGAGGUGAAAUUCGUAGAUAUUCGGAAGAACACCAGUGGCGAAGGCGACUUACUGGACACAUAUUGACGCUGAGGUGCGAAAGCGUGGGGAGCAAACAGG
rnacentral:rRNA from 1 species